GGGGGCACACACGCCGGUGGAUUUUGUGCACAGGCUCCCGGGUACAGUGUCGACACUGUUCACCGAUAUUCUUUUUUUUACCUCCAAAAAUAAUAAACUAGUGCCAAAAACAAGUUAUACCUUUUGGGAUCAGGGACUCGAGGACUUAUCUACCUGUGAAUUGAUCCUGAACAAUAAAAAACGUGUAAGGAUGUGCGAACGGGGGUGAAAAUUACCCGUUGGAGGUGUGGAAAUGCUCCCGAGAAGGGGAUAGUGCGUUGGGAGGGGGUGAUGGGCUUGUUUAGUGCCAAGUGAAGACAGUAUUUUCGAUUUUUGGUACAGAGAAGUGAGAAAAAAAAUUUUGUAGAAGCUCUGUGGGUGUUGAGAAGGAGGUGAUAAAGGACGAAAGGAAAUAUCUGCACACGCCCGGCUGUCACGAUCGAGAACGUCGGGUGUUUCAGAGGACGCCAUGUUACGAAGCCGUAUGCCCAUGGCGAGAUUACCAUUGAUUUUGAUUCUUCAUUUCGUUGUUGUUGUUCUUGCCAGUGAUAAUGAGACAGUCACAGAAACUACUGAGGCUGUCACCAUGCCGAUCAUUCCCCUUGCCACCCUGGAGAUAGAGGCCUCCCAGAAGAUCGAUGGCAUUGAAGCUAAUAGCACCCCUUCAUUCACCUGUAAACUCAGCGAGCCGGGUCAGAUCUACUGGAUCAAGGACGAUAAGAAUCUAACGACCAUCAAGGUCUCCGAGACACAGGCUAGGUUUGACCUGACAUUAGCGAGGCUGGAGGACAGGGGGAACUACACGUGUAUGGCUGUCACAAAUGGCCACGAAAAACUGGAGAAGACGAUUGGUGUUCGGGUCAUAGAGAACGGAAGUAUAGAACCCUCAGAGCCAGUCUACAUAAAAUCCGAGAAGCCAGUGAACCUGACAUGUCACCUCCGUGGCUCGCCGCUUUCCAACUUCACAUGGUUGAAAGGCAACAACACCGAGAGCAUCGAGACCCUGCGAGACCAGACAACAGUCACCCAGCUGAACGAGACCCAUCACAUAAUGACCCUCUCCUUCGAGAGUGUUUUACGAAAGGACAACGGCACCUACACCUGCAUGGCAAACGACUACCGAGGGACAGUAGCCAGUGUGCGCCACCUAUUCGUCAUCGACAAGCCCCAGGUGAACAUAGACUUCAUCAAGGCAGUCGGUGCUGACAAAAUAUUUCUCAAUUGGACAGUGAACGACGGGAACAAGCCCAUUCAAAACUACCAGAUGAGCUUCCAGAAGAACGGUCAAGAGGGCAGAGUAUUCUACAGUCAAUCCGUAGGUGGUGAGAACACAAACUUCGUGCUGAAGGGCUUCGAGAAGUCCACGGAGUACCAAAUAAGCAUCUCCGCGAAGAAUGAAGUUGGAGAGUCCCAAGUGUACCACGACAACAGGUGGAUAAAAACUCUUGAGGCAGAUCCGAUAUUCGUGCCAAAUGUCUCAGUGAAGGGCUUCACCGAGAGCUCAAUCACGGUGGGUUGGACAAUGCCCCCUCCAGCCCUUCGUGAGCACGUUCACUACUACACACUAAUGAUGAUUCACGACGUCCAGACGAAGGAGGCUGUCCAUUCUGCCUCAGAGUUCAAUGAUUACGUCUUUGUCGAUCUCAAUCCAGCGACAACGUAUCUCUUCAAGAUCUCCGCCUGCAGUUAUUACACUACACAGUGCGGCAAUUGGAGCGCCGAGGUGAAUGGUACGACCAUGGAUGGGAUUUGCAGUCCACCAGAGAACCUCACCGUCACAUGUAAAUUUGAUAAUAUCAGUAGAACGAGUUUUGUUUCAGUCAGUUGGGCACCACCGACAGUUCCCAAUGGACAGAUCACCAGAUACGGUGUCGAGUUGACCGGUGUUUCCCACUACAAAAACGAAAGAGGAAGGCCUCAUGAAGAGCGCUGGGGCCCAGUGGAUCACAACGCGAGGGAGAUAGACAGAACAUUCGAGUUCAAACGAGUUCCAGCCAACAUGAACUAUACUGUGAAGAUCUAUGGUGUGACGAGACUGAGGAGUCCUGGAAAGCCCGCGACAGGUAACUGCACCAUGCCCAUCAGCAUCCCCGACCGGGAGAGUUUGAACCUCCGUACUUGGAAGAAGAUCCAAAACGAGGGGAGACAGCUCUUCAAGCUUUACCUGCCGAGAAUUUCCGAGAGAAACGGUCCCAUCUGCUGCUACAGGAUCUUCUUAAUGAGACUGGCACCAGGACAAACCACGGGGAAUCUGCCAGCCCCUGAAGACGUCGUUCUCCUCUCGUUUCAUUAUGCUCACCUGUCGCCAGUUGGGGGUGCAUAUCUCGCGGAGAUGUUCGAUAGCAAUGAUCUUCAGACUGAAAUUUUCCUCGGGGAUGGAAGGGUCGUCUUCAAUGGCUCCUCGAGCUGCGACAAGUGCGUUGGGUUGAGACCCAAACCCUUUCCCACUCUCCACCUCCUGCCGGAUGUCCAGGGGCCAGUGAGCACGACGUCAACGACUGCUUCCAGUGUUGAAACCACUUCACUGGCGCCCACUACAACUCCUGUCUCCACAACUACUGUUCAAAUGACCACUGCUGGUACCACGACUCCUGGCAAUGUAACAAAACCUGCGGCUAGACGCAGGCGAGAUAAUUCAGCGAAUAUGAUCGCGCUGGAGGGACCGUCACAGGAGAUGUAUCCACCAUUCGAUGGAUACAUCGAUGAGGGAUCUAAUUACACUGGGUUUGUGGAAGUGGUGGUUGUUGGUGGAGGACAGGUGCUGCCUGCCUACAGUGGAUAUCUCAAUCCCCUGUAUGGGGGACUGGAACCCAGUGUCGUUGUUGUUGCGGAAAAUGGGGCUCUGGGGGUUGUGCUGCAGAUAUCCGUUGCACUCAUUCUUGUUAUCAUUGUUCUACUAGUGGCACUCUGCGUGCUGCAUCGCUAUACGAAGAGGGCGGAACAGGGGGGUGAGGAGAACAUCAAUCUGAGGAAUAGUUUCAGGCAUCUCUGCAGAAGUUUGCGCGGUCGUCAUCAGCUAGUAGCCGCCAGUCCCCCAGACAUGCCACCGAUCCCCAAAGCUGAGCUCCUUCAAGCCUACCUCGAGCGCCACCGUGACUCCGACUAUGGGUUCCAGCAGGAGUUCGAGCUCCUCCCGGAUCGCUUCACCGAUCGUACCACGCGUGCCUCCGAAGCACGUGAGAACCUCUACAAGAACAGAUACCCCGACAUCAAGUGCUAUGAUCAGACACGCGUCAGGCUGUCACAGAUCGACGGAAUUGCCGGCUCCGACUACAUCAACGCAAACUUCGUGCUCGGGUAUAAGGAGCGGAAGAAGUUUAUUUGCGCCCAGGGCCCCAUGGAGAACACUGUCUGUGACUACUGGAGGAUGAUCUGGGAGCAGCACCUGGAGCUUGUCCUGAUGUUGACGAACCUCGAAGAGUACUCCAAGACCAAGUGCGCCAAGUAUUGGCCGGACAAGGAAGAGACGAAGAAUUUUGAGGAUAUUACGGUGGAGCACGUCGGCCAGAAGGCCUUCUCUGAUUAUGUUAUCAGGGAAUUGAGGAUGACGAAGACAGGUGAGAGGGACGCAAGAACAAUAAUCCAGUAUCAUUUCCUGGUGUGGAAGGACUUCAUGGCGCCGGAGCAUCCCCACGCAAUUUUGAAAUUUAUAAAACGAAUGAAUACGGCCUACUCCCUGGAGAAGGGUCCCAUCCUGGUGCACUGCAGCGCCGGAGUAGGUAGGACUGGAACCCUCGUGGCUCUUGAUUCACUCCUCCAACAGCUGGUGGACGAGGGCCAAGUGUCCAUAUUCAACACAGUCUGUGACCUACGACACCAGAGGAACUUCCUCGUGCAGUCGUUGAAGCAGUACAUAUUUAUCUACCGAUCACUGAUGGAAAUGGCGACCUAUGGAGACACUGAGAUUCUUGUGAAGGAGCUUAAGGCUCAUGUGGAGAAGCUCAGGCAAAGGGACAAUGGCAAGGAGAAGUGCCGGAUGGAGGACGAAUACGACGAGCUUGUUUUAAAUUCACAGAAAAUCAGUUCUGUGUUGGAGGAGCGUAAAUCCUUUUCAGUGGGCGGUGGCGAAGAGAAUAGAGUGAAAAAUAGAAGUGAAUUGGUGAUACCUUAUGAUAGAAAUAGGGUAAUUCUUACACCGGUGCCUGGGAGGGAGCAUUCGACUUAUAUCAAUGCUUCGUUCAUCGAGGGAUAUGACAAUUCAGAGUCGUUUAUCAUCACGCAAGAUCCUCUGGAGACGACUAUUGCCGAUUUCUGGAGGAUGAUAUCAGAGCAGAGCAUUGGUACCAUCGUCAUGCUGUCUGACUUGAACGAAGGCCCCAGAAAAUGCCCCAGAUACUGGCCCGAAGACGAGGCUGUGUACGAGCACAUAAGGGUGAGAUACAUUCAGAGUGAAAGUUGUCCAUACUACACAAGGCGCGAAUUGUGCGUUGCAAAUACCAAGAUGGAUGAGACAGUUAUUGUAACUCAGUACCAGUAUCAUGGCUGGCCAACGGUCGAGGGCGAAGUGCCCGAGGUGACACGUGGUGUCAUUGAACUUGUCGAUCAGACACUGGUGACUGAUGGCGAAUGCUGUGGCCCAUUGGUUGUCCACUGCAAUUGUGGAUCUGACAGGAGUUCUAUGUUUGUCGCCCUCAGUAUACUCGUUCAACAGUUGAGGACUGAAAAACGAGUGGAUAUCUUCACUGUUACGAAGAAACUCAGGUCUCAGAGACAUGGAAUGAUCAGUACUUUUCCCCAAUAUGAGUUUCUCCAUCGAGCUGUAAUGAACUACGCUGAUCUCCACAAUCUCGCUGACGACGAGCCAGAAUCAUAAUGAAGAUUAUUGAGAAUACCCUAAAGACUGACCAUUCAUUUGUUUCGUAAGUCGUUUUUAAUUUCCCCUAAUGAAUUAGUGGCGAAAAGACCCGAAAGUUCACUCGUAAAAUCAGUCAACUGGAGCAUCCAAAGAAAUUCAAUUGUUCCACAGUCGGUUGAGGAUUUUUUAUACCGUAAAAAUUUCCAAAAGAAUAAUAUAAUACCGAGCACGUUUGCUCGAUUUUUUUUCACGAUAAACUGCUUGAUGUAGUUGUGUCGAUUGACCUCGUCGGAGUGGACGAGAAUCUGAGAAAUUUUUUUUAAUACCACGAGGAUAUAUCAUAAUUGUGGCGAGAAAAUUGUUGCUGCGUGAUGGCAGGAUCGAUGAAUGUUUAAAAAAAAGUUCGACUGUCGUGUGUUUGUAUCACUUAGGAGUAAGUGCGUCCUGGUGGCAUCAUGGAAUGAUGAAUAAGAAGCUUGGCAUUAUUCUUUGCGAUUAAUUAUUUGAGGACGUCAGUCUGAAUUUUCAUUAGGACCUUGAUGAUUUUAGCACGACUCGGUUAAAUAAAACUGGGGUGAAGAUGAUGGAAAGAAAUGAUAUCAGAAUUCUGAUACUAAUUUGUCAAAUCAUUAAUUCACGGUUCGAGCUAAUAAUUUUCCAAAUAAUCUGAGUUGAGAUUGAAGAGUUUUCUUCUUCAGAAUGAAGUAAAGUCGAGACAAACUGAGUCUCCGGAAAUGACACUUGUCAUCAUCUUCACUGCGUAAUAAUUAUUGCCAUAAAUAAAAUCCAUUUAAACUUUUUUAUUACCCAGACAACUAAUUUCGAAUAUAGAGUUCUGUAAAUAAUAUAAAUAUUACGAGAAAAAAUAUAUAUACAUAAUUAUAAAAUUUCGCGGCUGCAUGCUACAUUUUAUUAGUUAUUAACAUGUAUGUGUGUGAUUAAGGCAUGCGUGCGUGCGGCGCAGCUAACCCGUGCUCUCAACGAUUGAUUAUUUCGGUUGUUGAGUUGUUCAACUAUUCCACUGAAACGUCAAAUGAUAGUUCAUCUCAGAUUUUCCCAUAAUAUUUUUCCUGAUGUCAUCUGUUCUAAAAAAAAAUUCUAACCAUCUGUUCCGUGGAAAUCCGUUGAAUCGUUCUAUCACUGAAUUAUUGAUUUCUCAUUUUGACGAUCAUUAACUGGGAAAAAUUGAUCAAGAUAUGUCAUAAAACUCAGAUAAGACUGAUACUAUCGAGGGCCACGGGCGCCUCGCCAUCGGAUUAAAUUGCACAUUCAUUUUUUUACCAAUGAAAAUAAUAAAAGAAAUAAUUUAAUGAAUAAUUAGGUUUUUAGCCCCCCCUUGGAAAUGGUGGAGCACAAAAGAGACUUUAUUUUCUCUACAAAAUCAUAUUUUAGAGGGAUGAAUACGUAAUUGUAAAAUUUUUGAUACGAAAAUAGUGACGAAGGAGUUCGAUUGUAGUUGAACCGAAUUCUCGUUUUGUCUUGUCUAUUCUUAACAUUUUUUAACUCAUCAAUGAAUCACCAAUUUUCAAUUUAUUUAUUUUCUAGUCAAUCUUUAGCUCCAGCACGCGCGCUGCUGAGAAUAAAAAAUGAAAAACCGCUGGGUAUUUCUUAGAGCGACAAUCACACAAUUCCACUUGCUCACGUACUGUUUCGUUCUUUUAAUUUCUCCAGAAAUUCCUACAGUUUAAAAUCCGAGUAGAUUAACAAAAGUGAAAAUAGCGUAAAAAUGCUUCUCCAUUCCAUUCUCUUUGCCUAUUAAUUCUGAUUUUCAUCUGGUAAUUUACGAAGUACAUUUUCGAUUAAUGUAAUGAAUUAUCGGGAAGAUCAUGAUUGGCGCCUCUGACUAGUGCUUUCCGUACCAUUUUUCAGGAAUAAAUAAUUAUUAAUUAGUCCAAGAGCGAUUCUUUGCAAUAUGAUUACCAAGAAAUCAUGAAUCUUCCUUUUUUAUUGUAAUCCACAAUUCAGGACAAAAUGGAGUGAAAUUUUUAUAUUGUCUCCUGGGGCAAAAUGGUACGGAAAAUAUAUUAAAUCGUUGGCGCCAGGGAAAUCACAAUCGCACAUAAAUAUCAUUCGCCAUGUGAAGAAAAUUGAAUCUAAGCUGUAUUUAUACUGUUCGUGCUGUUGUUACAAGCGAUGGUUAAUCGUUUAAUUCCAUGUAAACGUGAACACUGCGGUAGUGUUUUUGUUUCAAUCUGUUAUUCGCGAUGUUGAUUUGCGAAUUAACGUACCCUCGAUUCACGUAGUCGCUUGAAUUGUAACUAUUAAUGCUGUCGACAUUUCCGAGUGGAAGUUUGGCGUUGUUCGAUAUUUUUUGGGUGUCAUACGCUUCGGAAACAAAACCCAAAAAAAAAACAGUAACAAAUAAAUUUCGGGGCAUAAGUGCGGCAUUGACGUUUCUUAAGCAUAUCGUCGAUGGUCGACAAUUAGAUUUUUUUUCUCUCCAAAAAUCAAUGCGAUAAAUUUUCUUGAUACUGGGGGCAGAUUUCGAAUGAUGACUGGAGAAGUAUCUUGAGGCACCUGACUUUCUCCGACUUUUGGACUCCCAAAAAAUGUGGAAACGCCAAAUUUGCGCUCGGUGUGCCAUCUAAUUGGUCACUUGUAAAUGGAAAAAGACGAACGCUUUUCUCUGGUUCUAAUUACUAUAGCGUAAAAAAAAUGUGAGUAAGAAUGAUGAAUGAAGGAUAAAGUAAGGCUCUAAAACGAAUGUACAAUAAUCAGUAUUUAAGCUUCAGAUAAUUCGUUAACCGUCGCAACAGACAGGUGAGAACACUGUAAAGGCCAUUUAAUCGAGAUUGAAUCGUUUAUAUUUCGUUCGUGCAACUGAUUCUACGACACUAUCCUAGAUUAACAAUUCUUCAUUUGUACGUACGUUUUCAAUGAUCAAACAGUGUCAGUUAAUUUACAUCGUUACGUUGGAUAUUCAUUCAAUAAGGUGGACACGACAGAGACUAAAAAUGAGAUGAAGAGCUCUACCUCAACGCGUAGAUAUCCGUAAAGUAAGGAAAUGUCCUGGAGACUCUCAGGAUCCUGUAUUUUUUUUCGUCUUUCCAGAAGAAUUUUAAUGAUAUCUGGCUGUCACACAAAAUGUAAUUUUGACGUACUUACCAAAUGAAGAAGACGAUUAGUUUGUGGAAUGUGCAGAUAUUAUUGAUAAGUACCAUUGGAUAUUAUUAACCCAGAAUUAAAUUACUGAAUCGAGAAUGAUAUUUUUCAUAAUUCGGUGAAUCUCGACGAUUUCUCGACUCAAUAAUUUUCUUAUCACCUCGUCACAGAUAAAAUCAACAACGAUUACAUUAUAAUUACUCCGGAUAAAUUAAUUUUCACGUUUAUCACGUGUUGGACGAGUCUGAAAUCUCUAAAAGUGAAUGGGAGAGAGGAAAAAUAAGAGAGAAUUCAAGUGAAACGACGAAACAAUUGUAAUUUUACAAUAUUGUUGUCGCGUGUGAAUGCUGGAGAGUUUUGUAAAGUGAAUCUUUUUUUUUUGGAAAUGAGAAAUAAGAUGAAUAUUAACUACAAAUAAAUAAACGAAAUAAAUAAAUUCGCAGAGAUAAAUCGAUGAAUUUUAUCAAGUUUUCAGUCUCACUGGGGCUUGGGGGCACAUCACUGGAGAGUAUUACGCAUCUUGUUUCGCUUUCUCACGGAUGUACCUUGGCGUGGUCUUGUUUUAAUUCCUAUUAUUGUUUCUCGGUAGUGCUUCUUCGGUCGCAUCGUAGUUGUCUUGUUGUAUGACUCGAUUGCGUCGCUCACCGUUUUGGUUAGAUCCAGCAAUUCAUCGUGAACGAAACGUGACUUGAAGUCGGGAAAUAGACGGGGCAUUAUUAGCACACCCAGCAUGAAUACCAGUGCCAUACCGACAAAACCACUUAUCGCCAUGAAGAGGGGAUUCAUGACCAUCUGCUUCUGGGACUCGUGGAAUGGAUUCGUUGACUCCAUCUGCUAGAAGAGGAGUCUUCAAUUGGCGAGGAAAGUGUGAGGAGUUUAGAGCUGGAGAAAAUUACAAUGAUGGAGCCGCUGCACCGCUGAAACGCAGCUUUCAUAUUUUCGUAUUAAAAAAAUCAUAAACAUUAAUAAAGAAUUAAUCACGGAAGUGCCGGCAUAUCGCUGGAACGUAUAUGUGAACGGUGGUGAAGCCCCGGAUAAACUGGUUGCUUCAAAGAGAGGCCAAUUGAACGUGUUCCCCACCACUGGAGACGCAUUGCCGAUCUCGUUCGCCGCAUGUGCCUCACAUAAUUAAAAUUGUGUAAAAAAAAUCCCUGUGAUUAUUACGUGACGCCGCAGGGCAGUCCAUCUCUCCGCGGAAGAGUAAAUAUUGCUGUUUCCUUUUAUUUUGUUGGAGCUAUUCACGAGAUGCAAUUAAACAAUUAAAUAAUUACAUUCACCUGGAAAUAGUCGAGGGUUUUUCUGCAUUCGAAGUAUUUUCCAUUUGUUUAAAGACAAAAAAUCAUUUUUAGAUGCGACAAGUGAAAAUGAAGUGCAUUUAUUUAUUUUCUUUCGUACAUGACUAUAAUGGAAUGAGAUGGGAAAUCUCAGGACAUUAAUAAUUAAUUCUGAAUGCCAAUUAGCGAACUCGAUGAUAGAUUAAUUCUUAAAAAUUUAAUUUCUGUAGACGAAUGCAAGUAGAGUAAAUUGUGAUGGAGUGCAGGAGAUUAUGAGGCGCAUCACGCACUCUAGGAUUUUUUAGUUCUAUUCGUCUUGCAUUUCGUGGAUUUUUUAAUUUGUCAUUCGCAACGAGUUGAACAUGUUCUGAGGCAUAAUGGAUUAGAUGUACUGGGAAGGUAACGGUGAAGGGGUACCCGAAAACGGGAUUGGAAUUCAGGACGAUCGAGGACGAUGUAAAGGGAAUAAAAAAUAUUGUGCUACA